GUAAAACAAUUAACUCGUCAGCCCCACAAACCAUAUCCCAUCCCAUUUCAUUAAUCAAUAUGCACAAUGCCUCAUGUCCGUGCUCCUUUCACUUGAUUCAUAUUCCUUGUGCUUUUUUCUAACUGGACGUGAGGUUUCUUCUUCAACUGUCUCAGGAUGCGUUGAUUUUGAUGGAGGUGCAAUUGUCCUAGGUUGAGCUGAUUGAGAAGGAGCUGGAGCUGCAACUGUCGUAGGCUGAACUGAUUCUGAUGGACCUGUAACUGGGUUUUUCUUACUCUUCUUUCUUGUUGGCGCAACCAAUGUCUUCUUCUUUUUUGUUGGUGCAGCCGUUGAUUCUUGAGUUUGGCCUUGAGAGAUAAGAACCUCUGAACUUCUCCCAGGCUUCAAAAAGAAAACUCAAUUAUUAACAAAAGUUUGCACCAUAAAUUAAAUUAAAUACAGCCUAGUAAGCUUGUAAAACUUACAUUAAGAAUAAC
rnacentral:lncRNA from 1 species